ensembl:lncRNA
ACACACACACACACACACACACACACACUAUAACACACACACACACACACACACACACACACACACACUAUAAAACACACAAACACAAACACACACACACUAUAAAACGUACACACACACACACCUCUCACGCCCCGAUUGCCGCCCCACCUGUUUGUCGGGGUUCUUGGUGUCGAUGCGGGCCUUGGGUUGGUCGGUGGCGAGGCGCUGGUGGAAGGGCUCCAUCAGGGGCCACUGCAGCUUGACCAGGGCCCCGUCCAGCUGCCCCCCGCUCUGCCGCAGGGCCUCCUCGCACCGCGGCGCGUCCUGGAAGCCCAAGGAACGCAGCUCCCGCAUCUACACACACACACACACACACACACACACACACACACACACACACACACACACACACACACACACACACACACACACACACACACACACACAAGCAUGAAGACAUAAACACACACAAGCGCAUAAACGCACACAAGUGCACACACACAGGCGCAUAAACGCACACACCCGCACACAUAAAAACACGUGCACGCGCACACACAUAAACGCAGACACAAGCACGCGCACACACAAACGCAGACACGCACGCACGCACACACACACACACACACAAACGCAGACACACAGACGCACGCACGCACACGCACACACACGCACGCACACACACACACACACACACACACAUACACAAACUGGCUUUUACAUAACAUUACACACAGAUUUUUUUCAUACUUGGCAUUAAGGAGCAGGUGUGACAGGUAGAUCGGCUAGAGCAUUGGAAUCAAACCCAGAACCUUUGGACAGGGAUUCAAGCACUCGUAGCACUACCCUUGCUAGUAGCCGCAAGGUUGCUAGUUCGAUCCCGGGCUCCUCAUAGCUGUGAGUGUCGAGGAGCCGGGGAUCGAACCGGCGACCUCCUGGUGACCCGCCGACCCGCUCUACCUCCUGAGCCACAUGUCCCCCCCCGUGUCUUUCCUGUUAGUUCGGGUCAGUCCACCGCUACCUUGAUGUGCUGGAUGAGCUGCAGGCUUUCCUCCCGGCUGGCCCUUCUCUGCUGGUCCAGGAGCUGGUCUGGGCUGAAGUCCUGGGGGGGGGCUCUGGCUGGGAUCUGAUCCGGGACGCGGGCCGGGGCCGGGCCAGGAAUCACCCCACCUCCUCCUCCUCCUCCCCCUCCUCCUCCUCCUCCUCCUCCUCCUCCGCCUCCGGGCGGAGAGGCACACAUCUCACACGCUGUGGAGGAGGCGAGGUUUCGGUAGGUGCACGCCUGGCAGGUCCACUAGGAGAGGAGGAGAGGAGGAAACAUCUGAAGGUCCACUUCGUCAUAAUGUAUCACCCCAGGCUAGACUGGGGAGCCACGCCCGUUCUGCCGGCGAUCUGACUCCGCCCCGCACUAAGGUCUGGAGAAGAGCGAUACGUUUCUUUCUGAUUCAGACACACGCGCUAUUCGCUGGUUUAACACAAUAACGACAGGGAAGCGAUGGCAAGCAGCCAAUUGCGAACAGAGUCAUUUGAACUAGGCCUGCUGAUCACGCCUCUUGUGCUGAAGAAAAUGACAGCAGGCUCCCCAGACCAACGUGUAAUCUACGAUGGAGCUCGGUCUGGCAAUAGCCAGGCUAAAGGUGCGGCCACACCAGACGCGUAUCUCGCGUACUUCGCGUAUAAAAUCGCCAUUUUUUCCAUAGGGAACCAUUGGUUUACGCGCGUAUUACGCGUUGAAACGCGCAAUACGCGUAUAAGCAACAUUUUACGCGAGUAUAGCGCAUAUGUGGCGCGUAUAUUUACGCGCAAUACGCGCUAUACGCGCGUAUAUCGCGUACAUUUCAAGAGUUCAAAAAAUUGAACUUUUUACGCUCAAUACGCAUGAUACGCAUGACGAUUAGCCGCGUUGCCCAAUCAGCGUUGAGCUUGACCCGACGUCACUGGCAGAGAGUAGUGAGCUUGGACAGAAGCAUACGGCCGACAUCUUUCUUUAUUCUGUGUGGAAAUAGUAAUAUAGUUACGCCAUUAAAUGCUUUUAUGGAAACAUUU